CAAAGGCUCAGAGACAGCCACCCUUGACCAAAAUAGGAGAAGACCUGCUGUGACAGUGGCACUGACCUUCUGAGGAAGCCAUUCUGCUCUAUUUGGUUCUUUCCCUGGAAGCU
rnacentral:sRNA from 1 species